rnacentral:rRNA from 1 species
UACGUAGGUGGCGAGCGUUGUUCGGAUUUAUUGGGCGUAAAGGGUCCGCAGGUGGUUGGAUAAGUUUGACGUGAAAUCCCAGAGCUCAACUCUGGAACUGCGUUGAAAACUGUCUGACUGGAGUAUCGGAGAGGAGAUUGGAAUUCCAGGUGUAGCGGUGGAAUGCGUAGAUAUCUGGAAGAACACCGAAAGCGAAGGCAGAUCUCUGGACGAUAACUGACACUCAGGGACGAAAGUAUGGGGAUCAAAC